ACCCCCCUGCCCUGGAGACCCCCUGCCCUGGGACCCCCCUGGCUCUGGGACCCCCUUCCCUGGAGACCCCCUGUGUGGCACCCCCCUGCCCUGGGACCCCUGGCUCUGGGACCCCCUGUCCUGGGGAUCCCCCUACCCUGGGACCCCCCUCCUGCUCUGGAACCCCCUGCCCUGGGGACCCCCAGCUCUGGGACCCCCUGCCCUGGGGACCCCCCUGUCCUGGGGACCCCCAGCUCUGGGACACCCCCCUGCUCUAGAACCCCCUGUCCUGGGGAUCCCCCUACCCUGGGACCCCCCUCCCAGCGUGUGGGUGCAGUGACAGGACCCCCCCAUCUCUCCCCAUCCCCCCUGGUGUGCUCCCCUUCACCCCGAGCGCGUGCCCGGCUCUCCUGCCCCUCCAGCUGGAUGGAUCUCUCCUGACUCUUGUUUAUUUGUAUAAAUAGAUGCUAAUUUAUGCUCCCGCCGUCUUCCUCCUUGUACAUACAGAAAUUCCUUGUAAAUAGGCGUAGGAAGUGACGCUGUGCGCGUGACCUGCUGUGCUGUGGCCAUGGUGGUGCAUUUAUAUAUAUAUAUAUAUAUAUAUUCUGAUUUUUUUUUCCUUUUUUUUUGGUUUUGUUUUCCUCUCUCUCUCAGUGUGGUAACCUUGCUUGUGAAUAUCACUUUUAAAAAAAAAAAACAACAAAACAACAACAAAAAAAAACACCAAACAACCAAACCACAAGAAAACUCUUUAUUAUUUAAAUAAGAUUGAAUAAUUAAUUAAUUGAGUCAGCGAGGCCGAGCCGACUGGAGCGAAUCGGCCCCGGGUUGGGCUCGUGGGGGGCGAGCGGGGCUGGGAGCUCGGCUGGUUUGCUCCAGGGAUUUGGGAUCUCGUUUUCCUGUAGUUCUGUGCUUCUGUGGAGACUGUGAAUAAGUGGAUAUUCCCGUAGCCAUGACAGAGCUGCCCUUUAUUUAUUUUUCCCGGAGCGCUGUGUCUUUAUUUUACAGAUUUCCCCUCUAUUCCUCCCCCCAGCCAUGAUUCCAUCUCCUUUCCCUCCACCUUUUCCCUCUCCCCCCUCUCUCUCUUUUUUGUGAAGUUUACUUAUGGAAGAGUUAACACUGUACUGUACAAAUGUCAAAAGUGUCAAAAAGAGUACAAUUUCCUAAAAAUCACUGUAUUAAAAAGAAAUGUUGUGAAGAAAUAAACCGAUGCUGAUCAGAAGUUCCGCGGGGUCC
rnacentral:lncRNA from 1 species